rnacentral:rRNA from 1 species
UCGGGAAUUUUGGGCAAUGGGCGAAAGCCUGACCCAGCAACGCCGCGUGAGGGAUGAAGUAUUUCGGUAUGUAAACCUCGAAAGAAUGGGAAGAAUAAAUGACGGUACCAUUUAUAAGCUCCGGCUAACUACGUGCCAGCAGCCGCGGUAAUACGUAGGGAGCAAGCGUUGUUCGGAUUUACUGGGCGUAAAGGGCGCGUAGGCGGCGCGGUAAGUCACUUGUGAAAUCUCUGAGCUUAACUCAGAACGGCCAAGUGAUACUGCUGUGCUAGAGUGCGGAAGAGGCAACCGGAAUUCUUGGUGUAGCGGUGAAAUGCGUAGAUAUCAAGAGGAACACCUGAGCCGAAGGCGGGUUGCUGGGCCGACACUGACGCUGAUGCGCGAAAGCCAGGGGA